UCCCUAUGGGGUGCAGCAGGCGCGAAACCUCUGCAAUAGGCGAAAGCCUGACAGUGUUACUCUGAGUGAUCUCCGUUAAGGAGAUCUUUUGGCACCUCUAAAAAUGGUGCAGAAUAAGGGGUGGGCAAGUCUGGUGUCAGCCGCCGCGGUAAUACCAGCACCCCGAGUGGUCGGGACGUUUAUUGGGCCUAAAGCAUCCGUAGCCGGUUCUACAAGUCUUCCGUUAAAUCCAGCUGCUUAACAGAUGGGCUGCGGAAGAUACUAUGGGGCUAGGAGGCGGGAGAGGCAAGCGGUACUCGAUGGGUAGGGGUAAAAUCCGUUGAUCCAUUGAAGACCACCAGUGGCGAAGGCGGCUUGCCAGAACGCGCUCGACGGUGAGGGAUGAAAGCUGGGGGAGCAAACCGGAUUAGAUACCCGGGUAGUCCCAGCUGUAAACGAUGCAGACUCGGUGAUGAGUUGGCUACAUGCCAUCUCAGUGCCGCAGGGAAGCCGUUAAGUUUGCCGCCUGGGGAGUACGGUCGCAAGACUGAAACUUAAAGGAAUCGGCGGGGGAGCACCACAAGGGGUGAAGCCUGCGGUUCAAUUGGAGUCAACGCCGGAA
rnacentral:rRNA from 1 species